GACGUCGAAUAUCGACGUCAUAAACACCAAAGUUGUUCGUGUUUAUGACGUCGAAUAUCGACGUCAUAAACACCAAAGUUGUUCGUUUUAUGACGUCGAAUAUCGACGUCAUCAACACCAAAGUUGUUCGUGUUUAUGACGUCGAAUAUCGGCGUCAUAAACUCCAAAGUUGUUCGUGUUUAUGACGUCGAAUAUCGACGUCAUAAACACCAAAGUUGUUCGUGUUUAUGACAUCGAAUAUUGACGUUAUAAACACCAAAGUUGUUCGUGUUUAUGACGUCGAAUAUCGACGUC
rnacentral:miRNA from 1 species